AAUUUCCGCCUAAAACCCUAUGUGCUUCCCACAUACACAGACAAAAAAGCAGCGAAGUCCGAGUAAACCCUAGUUACAAGUGUGGCGUUGAGACGCCUUCUUUCCUUACAUCCAAUUCGCCUUAUCCGCAACAUUCAAUCGUCGAUUAUACACCGGAGUUUCUGUCAAAUUAGCUGUGAGAUGGCAGACACCAAUGAUGGCAGAAGCUUCAAGAGAAGAGACCAGCUUUUAGAAAUGGAACAUGAAGUCCGGAAAUGGUGGGAUGAAUGUCAAGUUUUCAAUGCAGAAGCUAAUGAGCAACCUCCCAAAGAAGGGGAUAAGUUUUUUGGAACAUUCCCAUUUCCAUAUAUGAACGGGUAUCUCCAUCUAGGCCAUGCAUUUUCACUCUCUAAGCUUGAAUUUGCUGCUGCAUAUCACAGAUUAAGGGGCGCUAAUGUCCUUUUACCCUUCGGUUUCCAUUGUACUGGAAUGCCAAUCAAAGCCUCAGCUGAUAAACUUCGUAGGGAAAUCGAAAGAUUCGGUAAUCCACCUUCUUUCCCUUCAGAAACAGAUGAGAUAAUCAUCGAACCAGAAGUCAAACCUGAAGAUAACAACUCUCAACCUGAUAAAUUCAAAGGCAAAAAGUCAAAAGCAGCAUCAAAAACCGGUAAAGAAACUUACCAAUGGGAGAUAAUGCGUGGGUAUGGUUUAUCAGACACUGAAAUAGCCACAUUUCAAGAUCCUGUUCAAUGGCUUAGAUUCUUUCCACCAUUAGCUGUUGAAGAUCUUAAAGCUUUUGGACUCGGUGCUGAUUGGAGAAGAUCUUUCAUCACCACAGACAUCAACCCUUAUUUUGAUUCUUUCGUGAGGUGGCAAAUGAGAAAGCUGAAAUCAAUGGGAAAGAUUGUUAAAGACUUAAGGUACACAAUCUACUCACCUUUAGAUGGACAACCAUGUGCAGAUCAUGAUCGUGCAUCAGGUGAAGGUGUAAUCCCUCAAGAAUACACCCUCAUUAAAAUGGAAGUGGUCCCACCAUUUCCCACCAAAUUCGGGUUUCUAGAAGGAAAGAAAGUCUACUUAGCUGCUGCAACCCUUAGACCUGAGACUAUGUAUGGUCAAACAAAUGCAUGGGUAUUACCAGAUGGGAAAUAUGGAGCUUUUGAGAUUAAUGAUUCUGAGGUGUUUAUUUUAACUGAACGUGCAGCUCGUAAUUUAGCUUAUCAGCAUUUGUCACGGGUCCCGGAAAAGCAUACAUGUCUUGUGGAGUUGACUGGUCAAGAUCUUAUUGGAUUACCUUUAAAAUCACCACUUUCAUUUAAUGAGAUCAUAUAUUGUCUUCCUAUGUUAUCAGUUCUUACUGAUAAAGGUACUGGAAUUGUCACCAGUGUUCCUAGUGAUUCCCCUGAUGAUUUCAUGGCUUUACAGGAUUUGAAAUCAAAAGCUCCAUUCAGGGCUAAAUUCGGAAUAAAAGACGAAUGGGUCCUACCUUUUGAAGUCAUCCCAAUCAUCUCCCACCCUGAAUUUGGUGACAAAUCCGCUGAAAAAAUCUGCACAGACAUGAAAAUAAAAUCCCAAAACGAACGUGAAAAACUCGAUGCAGCCAAAAAAGUAAUCUACAAAGGCGGCUUCUACGAAGGCACAAUGAUUGCAGGAGAACAUUCCGGAUUACGUGUCCAAGAAGCCAAAACCUUAAUCCGCAUAAAACUUCUAGAAGCCAACCAAGCCGUCGUCUACAGUGAACCCGAGAAAAAAGUCAUGUCAAGAUCCGGUGAUGAAUGUGUUGUUGCUUUGACCGAUCAAUGGUAUUUGACUUAUGGCGAGUCCACCUGGCGAAAAUUAGCUGAAGAAUGUUUGGAGAAGAUGAAUUUGUAUUCGGAUGAAACUAGACACGGGUUCGAACACACGCUGAGCUGGCUCAACCAGUGGGCGUGUUCUAGAAGCUUCGGUCUCGGGACCCGCAUUCCAUGGGAUGAAGAGUUUUUAGUUGAAUCUUUAUCCGAUUCCACUAUCUACAUGGCGUAUUAUACCGUAUGCCAUUUGUUACAAAAAGGAGAGCUUUUUGGAUCCGAUACUUCAUCUGUAAACCCCCAACAACUCACCGACGAGAUUUGGGAUUACUUAUUCCUUUCCGGUCCGGAACCGGAAUCGUCAAUUCCGUUGACGUUACUUCGAAAGAUGAAACGGGAAUUCGAAUAUUGGUACCCGGUCGACCUUCGUGUAUCCGGUAAAGAUCUUAUCCAAAACCAUCUCACCUUCGCGAUCUACAACCACACCGCGAUAUUCCCAAAACGCCACUGGCCUCGAGGAUUUAGAUGUAACGGUCACAUCAUGUUGAAUUCCGAAAAAAUGUCGAAAUCAACCGGGAAUUUUCGAACGUUAAAGCAAGCGAUUGAGGAGUUUUCAGCCGAUGCGACGAGAUUUUCUCUUGCGGAUGCAGGAGACGGAAUGGAUGAUGCGAAUUUCGUGUUUGAAACCGCGAAUGCUGCGAUUUUACGGUUGACUAAAGAGCGGGUGUGGAUGGAGGAGGUUCUAGGGGCGGAAUCGUCAUUACGCGUGGGACCGGGUUCGUGUUACGCGGAUCGGGUUUUCGCUAAUGAGAUUAAUUUUGCGAUUAAAACGACGGAGAAAAAUUACGGUGAUUAUAUGUUUCGUGAAGCUUUAAAAUCAGGGUUUUAUGAUUUACAAGCUGCUAGAGACGAGUAUAGGUUUUCGUGUGGGUCUUAUGGGAUGAAUAAGGAUCUUUUGUGGAGGUUUAUGGAUGUUCAGACACGUCUUAUUGCUCCUAUUUGUCCACAUUAUUCUGAAUAUGUGUGGAAGAAGCUUUUGAAGAAAGAAGGGUUUGUUAUUAAAGCUGGAUGGCCUGAAGCUGAAAACCCUGAUUUGACUCUUCAGAUGGCGAACAGAUACUUACAGGAGUCUAUUUCAAAUUUCCGGAAGCUUCUUGUGAAGCAAUCUUCUGGUGGAUCAAAGAAAGGGAAAACUAAUACAACAACUCCUCAAAGCAAACCAACAAUUGGUCUUAUAUAUGUAAAUGAACAAUACGAUGGUUGGAAGAAAGAGUGUUUGAAUAUUCUUAGAAGCAAAUUUGAUAUCCAAAAACGUCAAUUUGCACCGGAUCAAGAGAUACUACAAGCCUUGCAGCAAAGUGCUAUUGGACAAGAAGGAAACUUUAAGCAGACACAGAAGCUUUGUAUGCCGUUCAUGAGGUUUAAGAAGGAUGAGGUGAUGACACUUGGCGUUCAGGCGUUGGAUUUAAGGUUGCCGUUUGGGGAAAUCGAGGUUCUUGAAGAGAAUCUGGAGUUGGUGAAAAGACAGAUUGGACUUGAACAUGUGGAGAUUUUGUCUGCUAGUGAUGGAGAUUCUGUUGCUAAAGCUGGACGCCAUGGGAGUUUGUUAAAACAAAAUCCACCUUCUCCGGGGUCUCCUACCUCUAUUUUCUUAACCAAGGAAGAUAUGGCUUGAAGAACUAGCGUUAAGAUAAUGAAGAGUAAUGGGACCCACCAGCUAGCUAAGUUUCUCUCUGUAUGCAGGCAGCAAAGAAUUAGAAGAAACAGUGUUUUUUAUUUUUUAUUUUUGCCAAGUUGUUGUGAAUCAGUGAGAUCUUUUAUCAAAAUACCCAAGAAACAAUAUGUUUUUUUUUUCCCUUCUACUGUUGCUUCGUUACGAUUAUGGUUUGAUUGUUUUACUUUUUACCUUCAGUUAUACACAUGAUUUACGUUGUCUUUCUUUAGAUAA